rnacentral:rRNA from 1 species
GCAAAACGCGAAGAACCUUACCCACCUUUGACAUGUACGGAAUCCUUUAGAGAUAGAGGAGUGCUCGAAAGAGAGCCGUAACACAGGUGCUGCAUGGCUGUCGUCAGCUCGUGCCGUGAGAUGUUGGGUUAAGUCCCGCAACGAGCGCAACCCUUGCCAUUAGUUGCUACAUUUAGUUGAGCACUCUAAUGGGACUGCCGGUGACAAACCGGAGGAAGGUGGGGAUGACGUCAAGUCCUCAUGGCCCUUAUAGGUGGGGCUACACACGUCAUACAAUGGCUGGUACAAAGGGUUGCCAACCCGCGAGGGGGAGCUAAUCCCAUAAAGUCAGUCGUAGUCCGGAUCGCAGUCUGCAACUCGACUGCGUGAAGUCGGAAUCGCUAGUAAUCGUGGAUCAGAAUGUCACGGUGAAUACGUUCCCGGGUCUUGUACACACCG